CCCUAAAAACCUUAUCCAUCGAAAUACCCACCUGUUAGGUCUUUUGAAAGUGAUCUUGUAUGGCUCUCAAAGGAAUCUUCGGAUCUGCCUCAACUUGAUCUAUGACUUGCAUAUUAAAGAAGCAAUAGAAGCUCUGAGUUUUCUUGUUUUUAAGCAUGUAUGAGUUUGGUUUAAGGUCCUUAUAAACCAGUAAGAUUCGGGGUUUGAUCUAGAUGCAUGUAUAUACCAACCACAUGUUUCUUUUUGUGUCUUUACUUCUUUGCCCUUGCUUUUUGAAGUGGUGGUUGAGUCCNUUGCUUUUUGAAGUGGUAGGUUGAGUCCCCACUUGACCUUUAUUGAUGACAGGUACAACUCCUCUGCACUGUGCCCUAAGCCUUUGAUUGUCAUUUUUUUAAAUAAUAGAUUCCUUCUUGUUUC
rnacentral:lncRNA from 1 species